rnacentral:lncRNA from 1 species
AAACUCAGGUUCGGCCACCGAACCUCAAGUUCGGCCACCGAACAUGCAUGCCUUCGGGAGCGCCUUUAGGCCCCCGAAAGCAUAAGUGAGGAAAGUCCAGGUUCGGCCGCCGAACCUCAAGUUCGGCCGCCGAACAUGGCAUGCAUGCGGAGGCACGUUCGGCUCCCGAACGUGGCCUGGCCAGCCACUAUAAAAGGGUCCCUUAGCCGAAAACGGGCGAGCUUUUUCCCCAUUUCCGGCCAAGGUGAGUUCUCCGCCACCCCUCACCGAUCUUGAGCCUUUUCCUUCAGAUCAAGGUGAGUUUUUCACUAGUUUUCAUCUUGUUUUGAAGAUUUUCAAGCUUUGAGCAAAGUUUUGGAGUUUUGAGGUUCAAGGGAACUCAACCCCUCCCCUCUCCGAGUUUAGGUCGUCUCUCUCGAUCUCCACGAGGUAAGAGCCGAUCUUGAGCUCAUUUCAUGUUUUAAGCAAGUUUUAAGUGGAUCUAUAGAGUUGUAUGCAUGUUUAGGUCAUAGUUAUGUUUAUGGGUUUUUGGUGUGUUUUUGAGCAAUGUGAGUUGCUUGUGUGUUGUAGUUGGGGUUUUUGAUGGUUUGAUGCCCCUAGGAACUUGUAUGCUUGUGUAUGAAUGUGGUAGAAUAGGUUUAUGCAUGUUUGGAUGAGAUUGGAGGCAUAAAUGCAUAGGGGAGCUGAGUUUCUGCCAUUCUGGGCGAAACCAGGUUCUGCAGCCGAAGGAACUUUCGGCCGCCGAACAUGCUUGUGGAGGCAGCCUUCGGCUGCCGAAGCUUGCUCCCGAAAGGAGACUUUCGUCUCUGUCUGGGACUUUCGGCCGCCGAAAGUGCCGUCGAACAUACAUGAGUUUCGCCUCUGUCUGGGAGUUUCAGCCGCCGAAGGUGCCGCCGAACCUGCCUGACUUUCGGCUCUGGAGGGACUUUCGGCCGCCGAACCUGCCGCCGAAAGUGCCCUGUUCAGCCAUUUCUUGCAUGUUUUUCUAUGAUUGUUUCAUGAUGUUUUAGGGGGUUUUUGGGGAGUAGUUUAGAGUUAUGUUCAUGUAUGUUUGGUCCCUCAUUUGAGUCCACCUGUGUAGGUUCGGACCCGAGGAACCGAGGACCCCAGCAGUGAGUCUGUUGCCCCAGUGUCUGGUCAGAGCUAUCCAGAGGUGAGUGGAAUAACCUAUUAUGUUUUAAAGCAAAUAAUGAACUUUUCAACAUGUUUCACGCAUCAUGAAUGCCAUGUAAUGAAUUAGGUUGCUUGCAUUAGAAUUCACGAAUAUGUUGCAUUGCAUAUUUCUAUGUUGAUGUGGAUGAAUGUUGGAUGAUCCAUAGCCCUCGAUCUAUGAUAUGACGAUGUAAUAUGUACGGUACGGAAAGUAAGACCAGUGGGACCCAUUCUACGUUCGCUGGCACUAUGUAAGGGAAAGACCAGAACCCAUUCUACGUUCUGGCACAGUUGGACACUGUUAUGUUAUGAUAUGUAAGGGAAAGACCAGGACCCAUUCUACGUUCUGGCACAGUUGGACCAUGUAGAGGGCUAUUGGUGACAAGUUCAUCCUUGAUGUGAUUAGCUGUGAUGUGAUGCAUUCCAUGAUCCAUAUGAUUUAAAUGUUUUUACUAUUCUGCUCACUGGGCUCUAGUAGCUCACCCCUCUCCCAUUUCCCCUGGAUUGCAGGUACAGGGUAGACCAGGAGGUUUACAAGAGUAAUGAAGUCUGGUAUAUGUAAUAGAUAGUGUGGACAUGAUAAAUUUAUAAAUGUUAUGUAAAAGUACAGUCUCAGUCAUGUAUUGAUAUUGAGGAUUAGAUAUUGUGCUUGACAUUGUGUAUGAGGUAUCCCUUUUAUUACAUGAUCAAAAAAUGUUUUAUAAUGUUCAUGAAAGCCAACUCAUCUCAUGUUGUAUUGCCCAUUGGGGCAUUGAUGAGAUCCCACAGAGGGAUCAUGAUUAUGAUUAUGACUAUGUAUAUGUAUGUUCAGGUUGAGUUGGAUGUUGAAGGAAAAGUUUUAAAUUUUUAUGCAUGUUGUUGAUCAUGUAUGGGAUUAUACAGGUUUUCAGGUUGCAUGUCAGGCUUGCUACGGGUCCCGACGGCCUUAAGCCGAUCUGGAUCCUAGCGCCGGUAGCGGUCCGAUUUUCGGGUCGUUACAUUUUGCCUCCCAAACUCUCUAAACUCAUGCACAACACUCCCAAGCAUGCAUAAACAUGUAUUCAAACAUAAAAGGCUUAAAACUAGCCUAUACCCCAACAAAUAUCACAUAUAGCAACACAUUUAUCAUGCAUUUAUCCUUAAACUACCAUAAACCCUAUCAUCAAGGAUCUACUCUAUUCAUGCAUUAAACACCCUUUACCCUUCUUAAAACUUACUUAACACAUCAAAGAAGGUGAGGAUCAGCGCUUACCUCUUGAAGAUCGAGAGAAGGCAUGACCCAACUUGGAGAUUUGGGGAAAAUGAGUUUCGGAGGUCUCCAAGCUUCACAACUUCGAUUUUGAGCUUAAAACUUCAAAACAAGAUGAAAGUUUGUUAAAAGCUUGAAAGAUUUGAAGGAAAACAUCAAAACUAACCAUGGAAGGGUAUGGACUCACCUUUGCUCGAAAAUGGAGGAGAAAACUCGCCCAUUUUUGGACAUGGGCCCUUUUAUAGGUGGCUGGCCAUACCACCUUCGGGGGCCAAAGGUGCUCCCUAAACUUCACCAUGUUCGGCAACCAAAUAUGAGGUUCGGAGGUCGAACAUGAGGUUCGGCGACCGAACCUGGAUUUCCUUCCAAUAUACUUUUCUUUCAAAACUCAAUUUCUUUCUUACUUAAAAUCUUAAAACAUGUAAAAGCAUUUUGUAAAAACAUAUUUUACCCUUCUAGAGGGUUCCGGCAUCCGAGAAAUUCCGGAUUACAAUGGAGAUUCCGCCGGAAGGUAGGAAUUCCGGUACCGGGGUCUAGCCGGGUAUUACAUAGAGUAUAACUAGGAUUUGCUAAAACCAUGAAGUUUUAAUUUUUUUGAAACUUUUAUUAAAGAAAUAAGGUGUUCAAGGUACCAAAGAAAAAGAAAAAGAAAAAGGAAAAAAAGGUACAAAAUAAAUCUACUCCGCUAGUUAAGUGAUCAUGGGUAGUGCUAGUAGCCACUUGAAAUUGUGACCAAUUGAGUAACUGGAGGUGGGUGUCACAAAUAUGUAUAAAAAGUGGUGACGUUCCAAGCAAUAGAUAAAUAAGUGCUCAUAAAUAAUAAAUAAAUAAAAGUCUUAGAUACUUUGUUUUUAGACUUAAGAACCAGCUUUGAACAACAGUGAAAUUGGCUAAAGUAAGGACUAAUGACUACUCCAUGAAUGCUACUUGACUAUUUGUGUGAUUGAGUAUGAAUAGCUUGAGCUCUCCUAUUUAUGUCAAAGAUUUUGUUGAGAUUAUUAUUUGCAAUGUGACUCUUGGGAUUAUUAGUUAUAUGCAUGUUGGUAUAUUGUUAUACUUCAAUCCAAACGUCUAGAUGAAAGAGUGGAGUUGAUAAUUUAAAUUGUUUGAAUGCUUGAGGGCAAGCAUAGUUCAAGUGUAGGGGUAUUUGAUCGAACGCAAUUUCAACACAUUUUUAUACUGUUCUUAGUAUUGAAUUAAGAAUUUUUCUAAUUAAUUUUGUAUUUUUUGAUGAUAUUUUGCAAAAAAGCAAAAGAGAAGAGGAUUUGAUAAAAAUGUGUUAAAAAGCGCUAAAAUUGAGCACCUAUUUAAGCCCAUCUUUAUGGACAGCGGCAGCAUCCUUCAUCUUCUCUCUCUCUUCGGCCAAUUCUCUCUUUUUCUUUUGUAUUUUCUUUUGAAACCAUGAAUUGCUAAAAUCUUUAUUUCUAGUUCGAGUUAGGUUGAAAUUUCAGUUUAGACAUGGAUUGUGAGAUCUAAACAUGAUUGUUCAUCUUUUAUUCUUCUAAUAUUUAUGCAAAUUCAAUACUUCAUAUUAUUAUUGCUUUGUUAUUUGAUUAAUUUUCUCUACGAUUGCAGCACCACUCACAGGAAUUAUCAAGAAGGAAGUUGGGUUCAAGUGGGGAGAGGAGCAACAGAAAGCUUUUGACUGCUUAAAAGGGAAGUUAACAUCUGCUCCUAUAUUAUCUUUACCUAACUUUGAUAGAACUUUUGAAAUUGAGUGUGAUACUUCUAGCGUAGGUAUAUCAUAGGCUGCCCUUCCUCCCCCACAACCCCUUGGUUCAGGAUCCAGGAAAGCUAGAAUCGAAGCGAUCCAAGCAUGCUAGGGUUCUUUUGUUUUGAGCAAGCUCUAAAUCCUAUGUCCUCGUGCUUGAGCCAAGCCUAUUUUUAUACCCAUCGUGGAAGUGGGGCUGUGUUGAUGCAAGAGAAUAAACUAAUAGCCUAUUUCAGCGAGAAGUUGAAUGGAGCAAAUCUCAAUUAUUCAACCUAUGAAAAAAAGUUGUAUGCCUUGGUGAGAGCACUGGACGUGUGGCAACAUUAUCUCGUACCCAAGGAGUUUGUGAUAUAUACGGAUCAUGAGUCCUUAAAGCACUUGAAGGGACAAAGCAAGUUGAAUAAGAGGCAUGGUAAGUGAGUUGAGUUUAUUGAAUAAUUUCCAUAUGUGAUUAAGUAUAAGCAUGAGAAGUGGUUACAGAUGCUUUGUCUAGGAGGUAUGAUUUAAUUAAUGCUGUGAGUUCUAAAUUACUUAGUUUUUAGCAUGUUAAGGACUUGUACAUUAAUGAUGCUGAUUUCGACAAUGUGUUUGUGGCUUGUGAGCAUAGAGCUUUUAACUCUUUUUAUAAGCAUGAUGGUUACUUGUUUAAGAGUAAAAAAUUAUGUGUGCCUAGAUGCUCUAUGCGUGAUUUGCUUGUGCUUGAAUCUUACUGUGGGAGUUUGAUGGGGCAUUUUGAAGUACAUAAGACUUAUGACACCUUAUUUGAGCAUUUUUAUUAGCCUUCUAUGCACAAAAAUGUUGAGAAAGUGUGCGCUUCCUGUAUUGCAUGUAAGACAGGCAAAGUCUAAGUCUAUGCCUCAUGGUCUUUAUAUGCCUUCACCUGUUCUUAGUUCACCUUGGAUGGAUAUUUCUAUGGACUUUGUGCUUGGCUUACGUACGACAAGGCGUGGUAGAGAUAGCAUAUUUAUUGUUGUCGACAGGUUUAGCAAGAUGGCCCACUUCAUUCCUUGCCAUAAAACUGAUGACGCCAUCAAUGUAGCUGACUUGUUCUUUAGGGAAGUGGUUCGACUUCAUGGAGUGCUAAGGACAAUUUUGUAUAUUUAUAAACUUAUCUUGAUAAACUAAUAUCCUAACAGAUUUAGUUUAAAUUUCAUAUUUGUAUAUUUGUAAACUUAUCUCUUGUAACUGUAUUUAUCUUUGUACAGAGUCUAUUUAAAGACAAUUGCAAUACAAUACAAUACACAAUUUCUUCCAUCUAUUUCUCUCUUCCUUUUAUGGUAUCAGAGUUGUAAAAAGCAUACUUGCUUUUUUCCGAUCCUAAAUUACCUCUGUUUCUUUAAUUUGUUUUUUAUUUUUCUAUUGUUCACCAUUUCUUCAUCAAGUCCUACAAGUCUGCCUCAUUCUAAUGGCAGAAACUUGAUUUCUUUCAAUUCUAAUCAGUUUCCAUUGAAACUGUCUGCACAAAAUUAUCCUACAUGGCGAACACAAGUUCUUCCUAUUCUUCGUGGUUAAAAUUUUAUGAGUUAUGCGGAAAAGUCUUUGCCACCUCCACCUGCUUUUACUCAAGUUGGUGAGGAAGACACAACAAAAGAAAUAGCAAAUCCACGAAAGAACUCAUUCCAAACACUAAACGCCCCAAAUAAAUUCCAAACUGACCUGGCAUGGGAACAAUCUUGAAGGACAUGAAAAAUAUCUCCUUGUUGCAAAUUAUAAAGACUGCAAGAAUCAUUAGCAGUUAGCUGUCUCUUCUUCCUCUCAACGUUACCCAUGAUUUUCCUAUGACCAACUUUUCAAAGAAACAUGUAUACCCGUUGGGGUACCUGAACUUUCCAAAUGAGCUUCUAGAAAUGGUUGGCCCCAUAAGUAGCAUCACGCAAGUAAUCAUACCCAGAUUUAACCGUAUAAUUUUCACUUGGUAUAAAUUGCCAAACCUUAGAAUGUCAAUCCAAUAGAGCUUUAGAUAAGCAGAAUUGAGACCCUUUAUUGCAAAAUUAGAAAUCAGAUUUCUAAGCACCGACUAGUUCCAACUGAUCCCUUGAAUCCAAUAAUGAUUAACAGAGUAAGCUUGCUCUUGAGCAGAAAUCGGGACAAUAGCUUCUUGGAUCAGUGGCUCCAUAGAGAGCCAAGGAUUAGUCCAGAAAUUUAUGUUCAUGCCAUUUUGCACAUUGAUAGCUUCACCCUGUUUGACUAGUUCCAUUCCUGAAACCACUGCCUUCCAAAUAGCAGAACUACUAGAAGUUCUUCCUAAUGGAAAUCUUAGUACUCCAGCAGCAUAUUUCUUUAUGAGACACUGAGCCCACAAUGAAUUUUGGUUUUGAGAUAAUCUCCAGCUAAGCUUACCCACCAAGGCACAAUUCAUUACCUUUAGGUUACGAAUUUCCAAUCCUUCCUAAGCUUUUGGUUUCUGAACGUCCUCCCAUUUGGCUAGAUGGAUACACUUAUCGCUUCCCACCCCAUGCCAAAUAAAAUCACGGCAUAACUUCUCCAUCUCUUGUAACAAUGAGAUAAGAAGCAAACUGAUUUGCAUAGGAUAGAUAGGAAUGGCACUAAGAGCAGAACUAGUCAAUGUGACUCUUUCUAUCCGUGAUAAAACCUUUGCUUUCCAUCCCUCUAACCUGAUAUGCAUCUAUCAAGAAUAUAUGAGUGAGUACUCGUUUCAGGCUUCCCAUGAAAAGAUGGUACCCCAAAUACUUCCCCAGAUUCUCCGUUAGAGGAAUUUCCACCAUUUGUGAAAGGCUAGCAGCAAGAGAAGCAUCCGUAUUUGGAGAAACAAAAAUAGAUGACUUAGCCAAAUUAACCUUCUGACUGGAAACUUUUCCAAAACGUCAAGAAUAGAAAAAAUAUUCUGUAGGUAAGGGACAGAAGCCUCCGCAAAUAGUACCAUGUCAUCUGCAAACACUAAGUGAGUGAGAAAAGGUCUAAUGGUUUCCAGGCUCCACUGGAAGAGGAAUGGCGAAUCAGUUAGCCAGAUGUUCAAUAUAUAACACAAACAAGUAACGCGAGAGGCCAUCACCAUGUCUUACCCCCUGUUAGGCUGAAAUGGUUCCGCCCUUUCUCCAUUCUAUAAUGUUGUCAUAGAAGAAGAUUGGACAAAUUGCAUAAUAGUGGAGAUCAAAGUAUUAGGAUAACCCGCCACCUCAAGCAUGCACUUGAUAAAUUCCUAGUUAAGUCUGUCAUAUGCCUUUUCUAAGUCUAUCUUGAUAGCCAUAUAACCUUUUGAGCCUUUAAGAGUAGACAUCGUGUGCAGAACUUCCUAGUAAAUAAUUAUGUUAUCUACAAUAUGCCUUCCUAGUAUGAAAUUACUUUGCUCUGGACCCACCAAAAAAUCCAAACUACUCUUAAGCCCAUUAAUUAUAGUCUUAGUAAUAAUCUUGUAGAGGAUGUUAUAAAGACUUAUGGGUCGAAACUGGGACGCAAACACUGGCUGAGACACUUUCGGGAUCAAGAUUAGGAGAGUUUUAUUAAGUUUGGCGAGAAUAUGAGCCCUUUGUAAAAUGUUGAGGACAAAACUAGAAAUAUCCUCCCCCAAAAUUCCCCUAAGUCUUCUUAUAAAAUGUAUCUUGGUAGCCAUCUAAGCCUGGUGCCUUAAAAGGAGCUAUAGAAGAAAGAGCCGCUAGAAUAUCAUCUCGUGUAAAAGGCAAGUUCAACUCUUCCAGUAAAACAGUAGAUAAAACUGGGUAAGUAAAUGAGGGCAGCACAAUGAAGUCUGAAGAAGUAUCCCGUUGGUAUAAAUUGAGGAAGAAACUUCGAACCAAGUUCUUGAUCUCAGUAUCCUAAACAACCCAAUUACCAUUACCAUCUUUCAAUCUAGAAAUUUUAUAAUUUAUUUUUUUGAGAAUAGCUGAGAGAUGAUAAUAUCUGAUAUUUCGAUCCUUAAGAAAAUCUAAUCUUCUUACGACUUCUGAAACCAGUGAAGCUCCUCUUAUGCUAAGACUUGCUCCAACUGGUUCCUAAGAUUAAAAUCAAGUUUGACCCAUUUAAGAUGAGAGAAGAGGCCAAACGAAUAUGAACUUCCUUUAAACGGUUUAAUAGACUUCUUUUCUUAUAAAAGAUAGUCUCGAAUACAUGAGAAUUCCAAUAUUUGAGUUUACCAAAAAGCCUGACUUGUGUUUUCAUCGGACAACCUCCCCUAAUCCAUUCCUGCUUGAUAAGAUCAGUGAAAACCUUAUGCUGUAGCUAAGAAAAUUGGAAUUUGAAAUGCCUUGGACUAAAAGUCAAAUUUCCAAAAAGAUUUACCAUUAAAGGGACAUGGUCCAAUUGAAAUUUAACCGGAUGGCAAACUUGCGAUUCUGAAAAAUUAAUUUGUCAAUGCUCAUUGCACAAUGCUCUAUCCAAUUUGGAAAUUUAAUUUGUUGGUCGGGUACGUAAAUAAAUUUACGUCUAAUCUAAUUAAAUUAAUUAAAUAUUUUAAAAUUUAAAAUAUUAAAACUGAACCAAUUAAAAAAAUAAAAAAAAAUAAAUAAUUUAACUAAUUAUUUUGUUGAUUAGAAAAAAAAAAUAACUAUCACAAUUAUAAUUUCAAUUUAAAAUUAAAAUUAUAUUUUUUAAUUUUAAAUUGAGAAUAUAAAAUUUAAAUUUAAUAUCAUAAUUUAAAACUGAGGCUAUCAUUAUAUUUAAGUUAAAAAAUUAAGACACUAAAUCUAAAAUUAAAAUAUUUAUUAUUAAAAUAAGAUAUAUUAUAAUCAUGAAAUAUCGAUCUAUAUAUCUUGCUUGAGAAUGCAGUAUUAUAAAUUACUGUUUUAAAUAUUAUAUUUUAAUUUUUCAUUUUUUAUAUUAUUUUUCAUAUUCUUUAAUUUAUUAGUCGGGUUUAUAAAUAAAUUUAAAUAUAUACUCAACCGAAUUUGUACAUAUUUUUUUAAAUAUGCUUUUUGUUAUAAUUAUUAGAUUAAUUAUAUUUAUACAAAUUGUUUUACUUUUUAAACCUUGGAGUGUUUGCUUGUCAAUACAUUAUCUUUUCUAUUUUUUAAUUUGUUGGUUGGGUACGUAAAUAAAUUCAAAUUUACACCUAAUCUAAUUAAAUUAAUUAAAUAUUAUAAAAUUUAAAAUAUUAAAACUGAACCAAUUAAAAAAAUAAAAAAUAACAAAUAAUUUAACUAAUUAUUUUGUUGAUUAGAAAAAAAAAUAACUAUAACAAUUGUAAUUUAAAUUUAAAAUUAAAAUUUUAAUUUCUUAUUUUAAAUUGAGAAUAUAAAAUUUAAAUUUUAUAUCAUAAUUUAAAACUGAGACUAUCAUUAUAUUUAAGUUAAAAAAUUAAGACACUAAAUUUAAAAUUAAAAUAUUUAUUAUUAAAAUAAGAUAUAUUGUAACUAUAAAAUAUCUAUUUAUAUAUCUUACUUGAGAAUGCAGUUUUAUAAAUUACUGUUUUAAAUAUUAUAUUUUAAUUUUUUAAAUUAUUUAUUAAUUUUAGUAAUACAAUUAAUCUAUGUAGGUAUUUAUUUAAUAAUAUUUUAUUUAAUAAAAAAUAUUUGAUAAGUAAUUAAUUUAUAAUUGAGACUUAAAUUAUUAGUUAUUAGAAAAUAUUAAAAUGAUAAAUAUUGAGUUAUUUAAUUUUUUUUUAUAUUUAAUAGGAAUCCAUAUAAAGAGAUGAUAUCAUCACGUUAAAUUUUAAAAUAAAUUUUAAGUUAAAAUCAAAUAAAAAUUAAAUAUUAAAUAUUAAAGUUGAAAAAAUUAAAUCCAAAUACCAAAAUAGUUAAUUGAAACAAAUAAAAAAUACACCAAUAAGCAUUCGAUAAUCAACAUUUUACAAAAAUUUUAUUAAAAUAAAAUAUCAAUGUUAUAAAAUAAGAUGCUAUUAAAUAGAUAGAGAGAAUAGUUUUAUUUGUAUUCAAAGUAUGUCAUAUAUAUUUUAAUCAUGAAUUUUUUUUUAUUGAUUUUCACCUUAAAUUUAAUUAACAGUUUUUUUAAAAAUUAAUUUAAUAUUAAUAUCAGUAUUUUUAAUAUUUUAUUAACAUUUAUGUGAUCUAUUUCUAAUUAUAUUUUAUGUUCUACAUAAUAAUAAAAUAGAAAUCAAGAAGAGACCAUUAAUAAAUUAUAAUAUAUAUUUUAAUUAAGAUUUUUAAUUUUUUUUUAUUGAUUUUUCGCCUUAAAUUUAAUUAACAGUUUUUCUAAAAAUUAAUUUAAUAUUAAUACCAGUAUUUUUAAUAUUUUCUUAACACUUAUGUGAUCUAUUUCUAAUGAUAUUUUAUUUUCUACAUAAUAAUAAAACACGAAUCAACAAGAGACCAUCAAUAAAUUAAGACUUUUAUAUUUUUAUUAAUGAAAUAGUAAUAAGUAAACUACUUUUAAUUUUUAUAUUUUAAAUUUUCGUUGAUCAAAACAUUCAAUAGUUAUAUUUAAAUCAGAGUAGUUUAAAAAUUUGUAUGGUUUCUUAUUCUUAUAGUAUAGAUUAUUAAUUAAAAUAAUUAUAUUAUUAAAAAGUAAUUUAAAAAAUAAAUUAAUUUAUAAGAUAAAUUAUUUAUUUUUAAAUAAUUUAAAAUUUUAAAAUAUUAUGAAAAUUUUAUUUUUUUUUUUAUUUUUAUAUAUAAUAUAAAUUAGGGCAAUUAAAUUAGUGUAUGAAUUAUUUUAUUUUUAGACCGUGAAAUAUUAUUUGACCUAACCCAUUUUUUAUAUUAUUUUUUAUAUUCUUUAAUUUAUUAGUCGAGUUUAUAAAUAAAUUUAAAUAUAUAUUCAAACGAAUUUGUACAUAUAUUUUUAAAUAUGCUUUUUGUUAUAAUUAUUAAAUUAAUUAUAUUUAUACAAAUUGUUUUAUUUUUUAAACCUUGGAGUGUUAGCUUGUCAAUACAUUAUCUUUUAUAUUUUUUAAUUUGUUGGUCGGGUACGUAAAUAAAUUUAAAAAUUUAUGCCUAAUCUAAUUAAAUUAAUUAAAUAUUUUAAAAUUUAAAAUAUUAAAAUUGAACCAAAUAAAAAAAUAAUAAAUAAUAAAUAAUUUAACUAAUUAUUUUGUUGAUUAGAAAAAAAAAUAACUAUCACAAUUGUAAUUUAAAUUUAAAAUUAAAAUUAAAAUUUUUUAUUUUAAAUUGAGAAUAUAAAAUUUAAAUUUUAUAUCAUAAUUUAAAACUGAGACUAUCAUUAUAUUUAAGUUAAAAAAUUAAGACACUAAAUCUAAAAUUAAAAUAUUUAUUAUUAAAAUAAGAUAUAUUGUAACUAUAAAAUAUCUAUUUAUAUAUCUUACUUGAGAAUGCAGUCUUAUAAAUUACUGUUUUAAAUAUUAUAUUUUAAUUUUUUAAAUUAUAUUUUAAUUUUUUAAAUUAUUUAUUAAUUUUAGUAAUACAAUUAAGCUAUAUAGAUAUUUAUUUGAUAAUAUUUUAUUUAAUAAAAAAUAUUUAUUUUUAAUGAUAUUUUAUUUUCUACAUAAUAAAUAAAAUACGAAUCAAGAAGAGACCAUCAAUAAAUUAAGACUUUUAUUUUAUUAAUAAAAUAGUUAUAAGUGAACUAUUUCUGAUUUUUAUAUUUUAAAUGUUCGUUGAUCAAAACAAUCAAUAAUUAUAUUUAAAUAAGAGUAGUUUAAAAAUUUAUAUGCUUUCUCAUUCUCACUUUGUAUAUAGUAUAGAUUAUUAAUUAAAAUAAUUAUAUUAUUAAAAAAGUAAUUUAAAAAAUAAAUUAAUUUAUAAGAUAAAUUAUUUAUUUUUAAAUAAUUUAAAAUUUUAAAACAUUAUGAAAAUUUUAUUAUUUUUGCUUUUUUUUUUUAUUUUUAUAUAUAAUAUAAAUUAGAGCAAUUAGAUUAGAGUAUAAAUUGUUUUAUUUUUUAGACCGUAAAAUAUUAUUUGAUCUAACCCAUUUUUUAUAUUAUUUUUCAUACUAUUUGAUUUAUUCGUCGGGUUUAUAAAUAAAUUUAAAUAUACACUCAACCGAAAUUGUACAUAUAUUUUUAAAUAUGCUUUUUGUUAUAAUUAUUAGAUUAAUUAUAUUUAUACAAAUUGUUUUAUUUUUUAAACUGUCAGAUAGCUGCUUCAGUGUCUUUUCAGAGCUAGCCUGAGGUGAGUAGAAUGGACUUUUAUUUUCAAAGCAAAUGAAUAAAUUUGAGCAUGUUCAUACAUCACGAGUGCCAUGUGAUAUAUUAGGAUGUUUGCAUUAGAAUUCACGAAUAUGUUGCAUUGCAUAAUAUGAUGAUAAUGUGGAUGAAUGUUGGAUGUUCCUUUAGCCCUCCCUAUGAUAUGAUAUGAUAUGGUGAUGAUACGGUAUGAAAGACCAGCGAGGCCCAUUCUACGCCCCUGGCACUAUGUAAGAGAAAGACCAGUGAGGCCCAUUCUACGCCCCUGGCAUAUAGGAAUGUUGUGUUAUGAUAUGUUAAUGUAAGAGAAAGACCAGUGAGGCCCAUUCUACACCCCUGGCACCUUGGAACGUUAUGUAGAGGGCUAUUGGUGACAAAUUAAUCCUUGAUGUGAUUUGUUUGUGAUGUGAUGCAUUCCAUGAGAUCUUAUAUUUUUAAAUAUAAUGUUUUACUAUUCUGCUCAAUGGGCUUUAGUAGCUCACCCCGUUCCCUUAAUCCCCCAGGUUUGCAGGUACGAGACAGUCCGGGAAGUCAGCUAGAGUAGAAAGUUUUAUGUAUGUAAUAGCGAGUUGUGGACAUGAAAAUAAUGUAAUGAGAAGUAUAGUACAGUAAUGUAAUGUAAUGAUGUAUAUUGAGGUUUAGAGUUGUGCUUGACCCUAGUAUGUAAAGUUAAUCCCUCUUUCUCAUGGUCUUUUUAAAUGAAAGUUUUAAUGAUGUUUAUGAAAACCAGGCUUGAUGUAUGAGAUGUUUCCCCAUUGGAGCAUUUGAUGAGGGCUCCAGUGUGGGGUUUUAUGUUUAUGAGUUGUGCAUGCACAGGUUAGGCUUGGUAAUUGAAAGAAUAAGUUUAAAGUUUUAUGUUUAUGUUUGAUCAUGUAUGGGAUUUAACAGGUAUACAGGAUGUAUGUUAGGCUUGCUACGGGUCCCGGCGGCCUUAUACAGAUCUGGAUCCUAGCGCCGGUAGCGGUCCGGUUUCCGGGUCGUUACAGAUUGGUAUCAGAGCCCUAGGUUCAUAUGGUCGGACCUAUAGGGUGUUGGGCUUAUAGAGGUUAUAGAAGGGCAAGCACAAUAGGAAAAUCAUGUCCACUAGGAUAGGAUGUAGAGUCCUGUCUUGAAUGAUGAUGUGAAAUGCCAUGAUUUCAUGCAUGUGCAUUAAUGAUAUGCUAAGAAUGUGAUAUAUAUGAUGCGGGUUCAUGUGUUUCCACAUGAACCAUUUGGUGCUAAUGUUUAUGUGAUGUGUACUAUUUUUCAGUAAACAGGAUAAGAGAAACUUGUCGAUCUGCACGAUUGACUGGAGUACCACCUCAGGAUGAGAGCACGGAUGCCCGUCCUCUUGCAUUGCCUAGGGCAAUGUCCUGCAGAUCUAGUAGGGAGAACAUCAAGGGACCCUAGAAGGUCUUUUGAUGUGAGCAGAAGGGGAACAGUUCAAGGUGGAAUAUCAGAAAAUGUGGGGGAUGAUAUGGAUGUGGAUUAGAGGAGGGAUGGCAGUCUUGAUGUGAGCAUGUCUGAAGAGGGCAUGAGAGAGUCUCAGGGAGGCACUCAGGCCUCGGGAUUUGUUCAACCACUCCAAUACCCACCCUUUUCACAGAAUCCCAGGUAUUCGAUGGGAGGUACAUCGGAUUACCCAAUUUUAACCCUUACCCUUCUCACAUGCCAUACCCACCAUACCCACAGUACCCUAUGUACCCACCCCCAUCCUUUUAUCCAGGUACAACUAACCCUAACCCAGGGGAUGUUGCACCUCCUCCACCACCAGCAGAACCUACUGUCCCAGAAACCCAAGUACCUAAACCUAGCUCAUCUGGAGGGAGCAAGGUCAAGAUGACCGAUUACAUGAAGCUAGGUGCUCCCUAGUAUGAAACAGGUCAUGACCUAUUUGAGUAUCUUGGGAGGGUCAAGAUGAUUACAGAUGAGAUAGGAGCUGAUGAUAGUAGAGCCAUUCAAAUGGCUGGAUUCACACUGAAGUGCAAGAAGGCCCGAGAGUGGUUUAAAAACUAUGUGAACCCGAGGUUGAAUAGCCUAUCAUGGGAGGAGUUUGCGAAUGAGUUUGCAGGAUGGGCUUUUCCUGAUAGCUCAAGGGAGUUGAAGAUGAUUGAGUUCGAACAGUUAAGGCAGACGGAGGAGAUGAGUGUAGAUGAGUACACAGAUAGAUUCUUGGAGCUGUUGCCGUUUGCUGGGCAAAAUCUUGAUACAGAUCAGAAGAAGGCUAGGAGGUAUGUCAUGAGGCUUCAUUCCAGGUAUUCCUUCUUGAUCCAGUCAGCAGAGAGGGAGAGUUUCCAUGCCAUAGUGGAUAUGGCCCGGAGAAUGGAGACUAGUGCAAUCAUUGAAGAGAAAGUUAAGCAGUCUGUGGCACAGCCUUCUGGUUCCAAGACCCCAGGUGGGGGAAGUUAGAUCUCUCUUCUUUGAGUUCAGGCAGUAAGAGGUGGAGCAGUACCACCAAAAAGUCAAAGAAGAACAAGUUCUGGAACAAGAUCAAGUCAAGUCUGGGAUUAGGGAAUGGCUUGAGCUCAGGUGUAGACAAUGCAGUAUGUAUGAAAUGUGGGAAGCCGCACAAGGGAAUAUGUUGGUUUGGGACGACAGCCUGCUUCAGAUGUGGGCAGGAGGGACACAUGGCACGGGAGUGUCCUAGAGCAGCUUUUGUGGCACAGUCCCAGCAGACAGCUUCUGGUAGUGUGGCUCAGUCAGUAGCUCCAGCCGCGACGCAGGCCAGUGGCAGAGGCAGAGGGAGAGGGGCAGCCUCUUCUUCAGCGGGUUUCAAGGGUGAAGGUCCAUCAGCUCCAGCACGGAUCUUCACCAUGACACAGCAGGAGGCAAAUGCAUCAAACACCGUGGUGUCAGGUAAUCUCAUCAUUGGUUGUUCACAUGUUUAUGCCUUAAUAGACCAUAGUGCAUCUCAUUCUUUUAUUGCUCCGAGAGCCAUCGAGAGGUUGGGUUUGAUGGUCUCUGGGUUAGAGUGUCCCCUAUGGGUCAGUGGACCCAAGUGUGACCCGUCAGUGGCAGAGUCAGUCUGCCAGUGUAGUCCAUUUUUUAUUGAGGGGAGAUGCCUUUCAGUUGAUCUUGUGGUUCUAGAUUUGACAGAUUUUGACGUCAUUCUAGGGAUGGAUUGGCUAUCUACCCAUGGUGCUACCUUGAACUGCAGAGACAAGAUAGUCAGGUUCAGAGGUCAGGAUGGGUCAGAGGUUGUCUUCAGAGGAGACCGGAGGGGUACACCUAGAGGUUUGAUAUCAGCCCUACAGGCUCGUAGGUUGCUCAGGAGGGGUUGUCAAGGUUUUUUAGCUCAUGUGAGAGAGCUGAAUAGUCAUGUCAGAGAGCCCGCCUCAGUACCCGUGGUCAGUGAGUUUUUAGAUGUCUUCCCAAACGAGCUGCCAGGUUUACCACCUGCUAGGGAGAUAGAGUUUGAAAUUAAGUUGAUGCCUGGAAUCAGACCGAUCUCUAUCCCUCCCUACAGGAUGGUGCCAGCAGAAUUGAAGGAGCUUAAGGAACAGUUGCAAGAGCUGGUAGACAAGGGUUUCAUCCGACCGAGUACCUCACCUUGGGGUGCUCUAGUACUGUUUGUGAAAAAGAAAGAUGGAUCCCUUAGACUUUGUAUCGACUAUAGGCAGUUGAACAAAGUCACUACCAAGAACAAGUACCCGUUGCCUAGGAUUGACGAUCUAUUCGACCAAUUAGCAGGAGCAUGUUGUUUAUCUAAGAUAGAUCUGAGAUCCGAGUACCAUUAGCUGAGGAUAAGAGAAAAGGAUGUGCCGAAGACGGCAUUCAGAACCAGAUAUGGGCACUAUGAGUUCCUUGUGAUGUCGUUUGGGUUAACCAAUGCCCCUGCAGCAUUCAUGGAUCUCAUGAACAGAGUUUUCAGUCAGUAUCUGGAUCACUUUGUUAUUGUCUUCAUAGAUGAUAUCUUAGUGUAUUCCAGGAAUGCAGAGGAGCAUGCCCAUCAUCUGAGGUUAGUCUUGCAGACCUUGAGGGAACACGGCUUGUAUGCCAAGUUCUCUAAGUGCGAGUUCUGGUUGAGGAGCAUUUCAUUCUUGGGGCAUGUGGUGUCAGAAAAUGGAAUCGAAGUGAACACCAAGAAGGUGGAAGCUGUAGCUAACUGGCCUACACCCACUUCAGUGACAGAGAUUAAGAGCUUUUUGGGUUUGGCAGGUUACUACAGGAAGUUCGUUCAGGACUUCUCUAAGAUUGCAGCUCCUAUGACCAGACUGACUAAGAAGAACCAGAGGUUUGUGUGGACUGACCAGUGUGAAGAGAGUUUCGAAGAGCUGAAGAAAAGGUUGACGUCGACACCGGUGUUAGCUCUGCCUACCAGUAAUGAAGACUUCACAGUGUAUUGUUAUGCAUCCCGAGUGGGACUGGGUUGUGUGCUGAUGCAGAAUGAAAGGGUGAUUGCUUAUGCUUCUAGGCAGUUGAAGAAGCAUGAGUUGAAUUACCCUACACAUGACCUAGAGAUGGCAGUAGUAAUCUUUGCACUCAAGAUGUGGAGGCAUUACCUCUAUGGGGUUAAAUGUGAGAUCUUCACAGAUCAUAAAAGCUUGCAGUACAUCUUGAGUCAGAAGGAGUUGAAUCUGAGACAAAGAAGAUGGGUAGAACUGCUUAGUGACUAUGAUUGCAAAAUUCAGUACCAUCCGGGUAAGGCGAAUGUUGUGGUAGACGCCCUAAGCCAGAAAUCACUUGGCAGUCUAUCCCAUAUCACAGCAGAGAGGAGACCGGUAGUGAAAGAGUUUCACAAGCUCAUUAAUGAAGGUUUGCAGUUGGAGUUGUCUGGUACAGGUGCUUUGAUAGCCCAGAUGAGAGUGACACCUGUGUUUCUGGAGCAGUGGCUUAGAAACAGCACGAGGACCCAGGGUUAGUGAAGAUUGCCAGGACUGUUCAGUUAGGCAAGAACGAAGAGUUCAGAUUUGACAGCAAGGGGGUCCUCCGCUAUGGGAAUAGAUUGUGUGUACCAGAUGACGUGGGUCUGAAGGGAGACAUUAUGAGGGAAGCUCAUAAUGCCAGAUACAGUGUUCACCCUGGAGCCACCAAGAUUGUAAUACCCGGCUAGACUCCGGUAUCGGAAUUCCUACCGUCCGGUGGAAUCCCGGAUGUCGGAAGCCUCUAGUAGGGUAGAAUCAUAUUUUCAUAAAAUGUUUUAAGGUAUUUCAUGGUUUUAAGUAAAAUGGAAAUGAGUUUUUGCUCAAAAACAACCUUGAAGGAAAACUCAGGUUCGGCCGCCGAACCUCAAGUUCGGCCGCCGAACAUGCAUGCCUUUGGGAGCACCUUUAGGCCCCCGAAAGCAUAAGUGAGGGAAGUCCAGGUUCGGCCGCCGAACAUGACAUGCAUGCGGAGGCACGUUCGGCCCCCGAACGUGGCCUGGCCAGCCACUAUAAAAGGGUCCCUUAGCCGAAA